UGCAAGUCGAGGGGUAUAGAGAGCUUGCUUUCUAGAGACCGGCGGAUGGGUGAGUAACGCGUAUGCAACCUACCUUUUACAGGGGAAUAGCCCGGAGAAAUUCGGAUUAAUGCUCCAUGGUUUAUAGAURUGGCAUCAYAUUUAUAAUAAAGAUUUAUCGGUAAAAGAUGGGCAUGCGUAUCAUUAGCUAGUUGGUGUGGUAACGGCAUACCAAGGCGACGAUGAUUAGGGGUCCUGAGAGGGAGAUCCCCCACACUGGUACUGAGACACGGACCAGACUCCUACGGGAGGCAGCAGUGAGGAAUAUUGGUCAAUGGAGGCAACUCUGAACCAGCCAUGCCGCGUGCAGGAUGACGGUCCUAUGGAUUGUAAACUGCUUUUGUACGGGAAGAAAUGUAAUUACGUGUAAUUAUUUGACGGUACCGUAAGAAUAAGGAUCGGCUAACUCCGUGCCAGCAGCCGCGGUAAUACGGAGGAUCCGAGCGUUAUCCGGAAUUAUUGGGUUUAAAGGGUUCGUAGGCGGUUUAGUAAGUCAGUGGUGAAAUCUUGCAGCUUAACUGUAAAAUUGCCGUUGAUACUGCUAAACUUGAAUAGUAUGGAAGUAAUUAGAAUAUGUAGUGUAGCGGUGAAAUGCUUAGAUAUUACAUGGAAUACCAAUUGCGAAGGCAGAUUACUACGUACUUAUUGACGCUGAUGAACGAAAGCGUGGGUAGCGAACAGGAUUAGAUACCCUGGUAGUCCACGCCGUAAACGAUGGAUACUAGCUGUUCGGUCUUCGGAUUGAGUGGCUAAGCGAAAGUGAUAAGUAUCCCACCUGGGGAGUACGUUCGCAAGAAUGAAACUCAAAGGAAUUGACGGGGGCCCGCACAAGCGGUGGAGCAUGUGGUUUAAUUCGAUGAUACGCGAGGAACCUUACCAAGGCUUAAAUGUAGAUUGACAGGUUUAGAGAUAGACUUUCCUUCGGGCAAUUUACAAGGUGCUGCAUGGUUGUCGUCAGCUCGUGCCGUGAGGUGUCAGGUUAAGUCCUAUAACGAGCGCAACCCCUAUUGUUAGUUGCCAGCGGGUCAAGCCGGGAACUCUAACAAGACUGCCGGUGCAAACCGUGAGGAAGGUGGGGAUGACGUCA
rnacentral:rRNA from 1 species